UUAAAGCUUAAUAGAAGCCACAAUAGACAAAAGAACCAUUGUGUUCACAGCUCACGCCAAAGGUUAUUUACAGAUUCAAACACCUUCAAAACUUGGUAUGCGUCUUUAUUCCUACCAACCAAAGGGGUGAUACAGGACCAAAAUAGAAUCAUCAGAAGCUUUCAACAAGUUUACACUGGUCAGGGAAAGUAUAUUGGCGAUUCCCGAUUAUAUUACAGUUCUGAAGCUUUGGGAGAAUGGAGGGCCCCUGCAAAUUUAUUUCUACUCGGAAGACACCGCGCUGUGAGCUAUACCCUUAUCAAACAACCGAAACGUCGACAGCCUUGUCCGGAUUAGUAAACACGUGCCUUCGGCGGGAAAGUCUCGACUUCAUCAUCCAAGGUGUUCAUGUGAACUGGCCUGUAUUCUAGUCUAACCUUUUCAUCCUCCCAGUACCUACAUAAAGAUACUGUCAGAUUCUUGAUAUAUGAAAUGGUGCAUUCAUUCGACAACAGAACUACUAAAGAGAAGACACUAACCCUAGCGAGUGCUUCAUCCACUUGUCGUCAUCUCUUGUCUGUGAUGAAAAAGAGGAAUGCAAUGUUACGAAAAGGAAACAUGUGGUGCACACACAAGAGAGCUUUAGUAAUGAGACAAGCAGCAAACCUUGAAAUCUUCACGAGCAUGAGCUCCUCUGCUCUCUUGGCGAGCCUCAGCUGAAUGCAUGGUUAUGCAUGCAUUUAUUAGCAGGUUUUCUAAUUCUAUGGUCUCUAUCAAAUCCGAAUUCCUGCAGAAACCAAUGACAAUUAUUAUGCCCAAUUAGUAGAAACACAGAAAAUAAGCUGAACAUAACACCAUUUAAUGAGAGACUUACCAUAUGAGACUUCUGUCACUGAGCUUGACAUCGUGGAAACUUUUCUGUGCUUCACUAAUCAGCUCGCAACCUGACAAGUUCAAAGACCAGUGAAAAGUCAUCAUUAUACAACCUUUCAUAUACUUUGCUACUGGAGUUUAUACUGUAUUAAUCUAACAUGUUCACCCCCUGCUGCCAGAUGGCCUCAAGAUAAUUUACAGUGAACAACAAUACAAAUAAUAUGCAUGCAUACCUUCUGUUAGAGUUUCCUGUGUGCGGAAAACUGCAGCAUUAUUUUGCAUAAUACGUUGCAUGUUGAGGCGGAUCUUCGAAGUUGGCAGUGAUCCAUUAGCAUUUCUCAGCUUGUCCAACCAAGCAAUGGUCUUCUCCCCUGCGUCUUUUUCAAGAGGUUUCUGUGUCUCUCCUAUAAUAAAUAUGGUGUACCAUGGAACGAGAAUAAGCUAAGAGUAGUAAAACAACAAACAAAAUACCAGUCAACAAGACAUGAACUUGCCUGGCUUGGAAAUCUCAGCAACCCUAUUUGCACAAGCCCUCCCAAAUACAACAAUGUCAAGAAGUGAAUUUGCACCAAGACGGUUUGCACCAUGAACAGAUGCACAAGCUGCCUCCCCAGCAGCCAUCAGACCAGGAAUAAUUGUGUCUGGGUUAUCACCCUUGAUAUCCACCACCUAAUGUGCGAACCAGCAGGACAUUGGUUACAACAUAGGCAUAUAAUUAUAAGAGAGUUCCAUAAUAGCAGCCAUACUGCAUACUCAAAGCAUACCUGCCCAUGAUAAUUUGUCGGGAUACCGCCCAUAUUAUAAUGCACAGUCGGCAAAACAGGAAUAGGCUCUUUGGUGACAUCAACACCAGCAAAAAUAGCAGCAGUCUCAGAUAUACCAGGAAGCCUUUCCUUCAGAACUUCUGGAGGAAGAUGAUUAAGGUGCAGGUAGAGAUGGUCCUUCAUUGGUCCUGAGGUUAAAGGAUAGAAACAGUAAGUGAUGUGAGAACAACCAACAACACCAGACCACCGCCUAAAGCAUAAUCGCAUAAAACAAGAGAACUGAAACAUACCUACACCACGUCCUUCUCUAAUUUCCAUAGUCAUAGAUCUUGAAACAACAUCACGAGAUGCAAGAUCUUUAGCGGUAGGGGCAUAUCGUUCCAUGAACCUCUCACCUUCGCUGUUCCUAAGAAUACCACCUUCGCCCCGGGAACCUGAAAAUGAAUGAUGGCAUAGUAAUGUAAGAAAUUUGGUUGAUUGCCUGAUAUUUCAAUGCUGACUGGAGAAAUGUGCCAUGCAAAAGCUAGAGUUAAUACACAUGUGAUUACAGUAGGAUAAAAAAGUUUUAGUUAUGUAAAACCUUCAGUUAUAAGGCAUCCAGCACCGUAAAUGCCUGUAGGAUGGAACUGCACAAACUCAAGAUCCUGCAAAUUCAACAGAUACAUAUAACCAUAUCAUCUUGAGAAGUAGCUAAAUCAGUUAGAUUUAGUUCAGAAGACUGACCUGAAGGGGUAACCCAGCACGUGCAACCAUAGCAUUGCCAUCACCAGUACAUGUGUGAGCUGAAGUAGCAGAGAAGUAAGCUCUGCCAUAACCCUGUUAAGAAAAAAAAAAGACAGGGAUAAGACAGGCAGUAAACUGAAAAUGACCAGUUAGUAGUUAAGACAGAGAGAUUCUUACUCCUGUUGCUAAAAUAGUAUUUGUUGAACGGAAACGAUGAAGGGUACCAUCCUCCAUGUUUAGUGCAAUUACCCCCUGGCAGGUGCCUGGAAAAUAAGUAUGCAUUAAUCAGCAGAGUCCUAAACAUGCGGUGCAGAGUCCUAAAGGCAACAAUCAAAGACUAUUUUUCUUCAGUAUGUCUACAUUAAAUUACUACCACAUGAAAGUAGGCAAAUCUAGUAGAGGGAUACAUAUCCUGGGUCUUGGAUGGUACCAGAACACGACAAACAAAUAUGUACCUUCUUUGUCCAUGAUAAGGUCCAGCGCAAAAUAUUCAACAAAAAACUGAGUAUUGUGCUUCAUCGCCUGCCCAUAAAGUGUGUGUAGCAUAG
rnacentral:lncRNA from 1 species